rnacentral:rRNA from 1 species
AACGAACGCUGGCGGCGUGCCUAACACAUGCAAGUCGUGCGAGAAAGUUCCUUCGGGAGCGAGUAAAGCGGCGCACGGGUGAGUAACACGUAGGUAACCUGCCCCCCAGUCUGGAACAACUAGAGGAAACUCUAGCUAAUGCCGGAUGAGACCACGAUCCCUUCGGGGGUUGCGGCCAAAGAUGGCCUCUACUUGUAAGCUAUCGCUGAGGGAUGGGCCUGCGGGCCAUUAGCUUGUUGGUGAGGUAACGGCUCACCAAGGCUGUGAUGGCUAGCUGGUCUGAGAGGAUGACCAGCCACACUGGGACUGAGACACGGCCCAGACUCCUACGGAGGCAGCAGUGGGGAAUAUUGCGCAAUGGGCGAAAGCCUGACGCAGCGACGCCGCGUGGGUGAUGAAGACCUGUCGU